GUCGGUUUGUCCGAGUGGUCUUAAGGAGCUGGACUUGAAAUCACGUGACCUCUAUCACGUGCUGGACAUCCAGUGGGAUUUUCCCGCACAGGUUCAAAUCCUGUAGCCGACG